GCAGAGCCCCGGCCAUGCCCGAGGGUGCGAUUGAGCCGGGGAACGCCCUACAUUGGUGGGCGAGCAACAUCGGC
rnacentral:ncRNA from 1 species